rnacentral:misc_RNA from 1 species
GAUGAAGAACGUAGUGAAAUGCGAUAAGUAAUGUGAAUUGCAGAAUUCAGUGAAUCAUCGAAUCUUUGAACGCACAUUGCGCCCCCGGGUAUUCCGGGGGGCAUGCCUGUUCGAGCGUCAUUUCACCACUCAAGCCUCGCUUGGUAUUGGGCAACGCGGUCCGCCGCGUGCCUCAAAUCGACCGGCUGGGUCUUCUGUCCCCUAAGCGUUGUGGAAACUAUUCGCUAAAGGGUGUUCGGGAGGCUACGCCGUAAAACAACCCCAUUUCUAAGGUUGACCUCGGAUCAGGUAGGGAUACCCGCUGAACUUAAGCAUAUCAAUAAGCGGAGGA